GCUCGGUUAGCUUACUCACACACAAGUCGGUAGAGUACGAGACUCAUAAUCUCGUGGUCGUGGGUUCGAUUCCCACGUUGGGCG